rnacentral:rRNA from 1 species
UACGGGGGGGGCAAGCGUUGUUCGGAAUUACUGGGCGUAAAGGGCUCGUAGGUGGCCAACUAAGUCAGACGUGAGAUCCCUCGGCUUAACCGGGGAACUGCGUCUGAUACUGGAUGGCUUGAGUUUGGGAGAGGGACGCGGAAUUCCAGGUGUAGCGGUGAAAUGCGUAGAUAUCUGGAGGAACACCGGUGGCGAAGGCGGCGUCCUGGACCAACACUGACACUGAGGAGCGAAAGCCAGGGGAGCAAACGGG